rnacentral:rRNA from 1 species
GACGAACCGUGCAAACGUUAUUCGGAAUCACUGGGCAUAAAGGGCGCGUAGGCGGCUUCCUAAGUCAGGGGUGAAAUCCGGCAGCUCAACUGUCGCAGUGCCUUUGAUACUGGGGAGCUCGAGGGAGGCAGGGGUCUGUGGAACUUCCGGUGGAGCGGUGAAAUGCGUUGAUAUCGGAAGGAACGCCGGUGGCGAAAGCGACGGACUGGAUCUCUUCUGACGCUGAGGCGCGAAAGCCAGGGGAGCAAACGGG